GGACUACAAGGGUUUCUAAUCCCGUUCGCUACCCUAGCUUUCGCGUCUCAGCGUCAGAAAACGUCCAGGACCUCGCUUUCGCCACGGGCGUUCCUUCCGAUCUCAACGCAUUUCACCGCUCCACCGGAAGUUCCAGGUCCCCCUACGUCCCUCCAGACGGGGCGUUUCGGUGCCCGUUCCCCGGUUGAGCCGGGGGAUUUCAGCAACCGACGUCCCCAUCCGCCUACACGCGCUUUAAGCCCAGUGAUUCCGAAUAACGUUCGCACGGUUCGUCUUACCGCGGCUGCUGGCAC
rnacentral:rRNA from 3 species